UUAAGCGACUAAGCGUACACGGUGGAUGCCCUGGCAGUCAGAGGCGAUGAAGGACGUGCUAAUCUGCGAAAAGCGUCGGUAAGGUGAUAUGAACCGUUAUAACCGGCGAUGUCCGAAUGGGGAAACCCAGUGCAAUUCGUUGCACUAUCGUUAACUGAAUACAUAGGUUAACGAGGCGAACCGGGGGAACUGAAACAUCUAAGUACCCCGAGGAAAAGAAAUCAACCGAGAUUCCCCCAGUAGCGGCGAGCGAACGGGGAGCAGCCCAGAGUCUGAAUCAGCUUGUGUGUUAGUGGAACGGUCUGGAAAGUCCGACGGUACAGGGUGAUAGUCCCGUACACCAAAAUGCACAGGUUGUGAACUCGAAGAGUAGGGCGGGACACGUGGUAUCCUGUCUGAAUAUGGGGGGACCAUCCUCCAAGGCUAAAUACUCCUGACUGACCGAUAGUGAACCAGUACCGUGAGGGAAAGGCGAAAAGAACCCCGGCGAGGGGAGUGAAAAAGAACCUGAAACCGUGUACGUACAAGCAGUGGGAGCACCUUCGGGUGUGACUGCGUACCUUUUGUAUAAUGGGUCAGCGACUUAUAUUCUGUAGCAAGGUUAACCGUAUAGGGGAGCCGCAGGGAAACCGAGUCUUAACUGGGCGUUAAGUUGCAGGGUAUAGACCCGAAACCCGGUGAUCUAGCCAUGGGCAGGUUGAAGGUUGGGUAACACUAACUGGAGGACCGAACCGACUAAUGUUGAAAAAUUAGCGGAUGACUUGUGGCUGGGGGUGAAAGGCCAAUCAAACCGGGAGAUAGCUGGUUCUCCCCGAAAGCUAUUUAGGUAGCGCCUCGUGAAUUCAUCUUCGGGGGUAGAGCACUGUUUCGGCUAGGGGGUCAUCCCGACUUACCAACCCGAUGCAAACUACGAAUACCGAAGAAUGUUAUCACGGGAGACACACGGCGGGUGCUAACGUCCGUCGUGAAGAGGGAAACAACCCAGACCGCCAGCUAAGGUCCCAAAGUCAUGGUUAAGUGGGAAACGAUGUGGGAAGGCACAGACAGCCAGGAUGUUGGCUUAGAAGCAGCCAUCAUUUAAAGAAAGCGUAAUAGCUCACUGGUCGAGUCGGCCUGCGCGGAAGAUGUAACGGGGCUAAACCAUGCACCGAAGCUGCGGCAGCGACACUAUGUGUUGUUGGGUAGGGGAGCGUUCUGUAAGCCUGCGAAGGUGUGCUGUGAGGCAUGCUGGAGGUAUCAGAAGUGCGAAUGCUGACAUAAGUAACGAUAAAGCGGGUGAAAAGCCCGCUCGCCGGAAGACCAAGGGUUCCUGUCCAACGUUAAUCGGGGCAGGGUGAGUCGACCCCUAAGGCGAGGCCGAAAGGCGUAGUCGAUGGGAAACAGGUUAAUAUUCCUGUACUUGGUGUUACUGCGAAGGGGGGACGGAGAAGGCUAUGUUAGCCGGGCGACGGUUGUCCCGGUUUAAGCAUGUAGGCUGAUUGUCCAGGCAAAUCCGGAUAAUCAAGGCUGAGGUGUGAUGACGAGGCACUACGGUGCUGAAGUAACAAAUGCCCUGCUUCCAGGAAAAGCCUCUAAGCAUCAGGUAACAUCAAAUCGUACCCCAAACCGACACAGGUGGUCAGGUAGAGAAUACCAAGGCGCUUGAGAGAACUCGGGUGAAGGAACUAGGCAAAAUGGUGCCGUAACUUCGGGAGAAGGCACGCUGGUGUGUAGGUGAAGCCCCUGCGGGUGGAGCUGAGACCAGUCGAAGAUACCAGCUGGCUGCAACUGUUUAUUAAAAACACAGCACUGUGCAAACACGAAAGUGGACGUAUACGGUGUGACGCCUGCCCGGUGCCGGAAGGUUAAUUGAUGGGGUUAUCCGUAAGGAGAAGCUCUUGAUCGAAGCCCCGGUAAACGGCGGCCGUAACUAUAACGGUCCUAAGGUAGCGAAAUUCCUUGUCGGGUAAGUUCCGACCUGCACGAAUGGCGUAAUGAUGGCCAGGCUGUCUCCACCCGAGACUCAGUGAAAUUGAACUCGCUGUGAAGAUGCAGUGUACCCGCGGCAAGACGGAAAGACCCCGUGAACCUUUACUAUAGCUUGACACUGAACAUUGAGCCUUGAUGUGUAGGAUAGGUGGGAGGCUUUGAAGCGUGGACGCCAGUCUGCGUGGAGCCAACCUUGAAAUACCACCCUUUAAUGUUUGAUGUUCUAACGUUGGCCCCUGACCGGGGUUGCGGACAGUGUCUGGUGGGUAGUUUGACUGGGGCGGUCUCCUCCCAAAGCGUAACGGAGGAGCACGAAGGUUAGCUAAUCCUGGUCGGACAUCAGGAGGUUAGUGCAAUGGCAUAAGCUAGCUUGACUGCGAGCGUGACGGCGCGAGCAGGUGCGAAAGCAGGUCAUAGUGAUCCGGUGGUUCUGAAUGGAAGGGCCAUCGCUCAACGGAUAAAAGGUACUCCGGGGAUAACAGGCUGAUACCGCCCAAGAGUUCAUAUCGACGGCGGUGUUUGGCACCUCGAUGUCGGCUCAUCACAUCCUGGGGCUGAAGUAGGUCCCAAGGGUAUGGCUGUUCGCCAUUUAAAGUGGUACGCGAGCUGGGUUUAGAACGUCGUGAGACAGUUCGGUCCCUAUCUGCCGUGGGCGCUGGAGAAUUGAGGGGGGCUGCUCCUAGUACGAGAGGACCGGAGUGGACGCAUCACUGGUGUUCGGGUUGUCAUGCCAAUGGCACUGCCCGGUAGCUAAAUGCGGAAGAGAUAAGUGCUGAAAGCAUCUAAGCACGAAACUUGCCCCGAGAUGAGUUCUCCCUGAGACUUUAAGUCUCCUGAAGGAACGUUGAAGACGACGACGUUGAUAGGCCGGGUGUGUAAGCGCAGCGAUGCGUUGAGCUAACCGGUACUAAUGAACCGUGAGGCUUAACCUU
rnacentral:rRNA from 1 species